AGAAUCCAAGAUGGGAAGCUCUACCGGUGAUUUGUGAUGAGAAUUCGGCUCCGUCUUUGGGAUACAGGAGCAACCUGGAGUACUUGAUGGAAACACUUGCUAUUGCGGGGAGAAUGUGGAAACUCCACACAGACCAUACCCAAGAUGAUGGAGAAAUACUGUAAUCUGGUCAACAUUGUUCAUGGGACACUUGAAGCAUAAACUUCCCAGUAUGUGAUUGACUGCCAACAGACUUCCAUGGGAAUUCACUGCUGCACGAGUGCUCUUGGCGGGAGACUCCAACUCGUAAUAACAAGAAUGGUCAGGAUGGGAAAUAGUUUCUUCCCUCAGACCAUUAGGCUUCUGAACUCCCUGCCACAUCACAUUCAAGAUCUGCUGCUUUCAAGACGGUCACAAAAUUUACCUGGUUCAAUAACAUCCUUUGGGGAAGAAAAUCUGUCUCCAUUCCUUGGCCAUUCCAGACACAUCAGGGAAGUUGUGUUUCAUCUGCUCUCUAAAUAGCACAGCAGUGCACCGGUUUCAGCUUUUCGUAAGAUGUACCAUUGAUCCCAUCCCUUAAUCGAUGUUCCAAUGAACGAGCAACUUAUGAAGAAGUUGUGCCAGCACCUCAGAAGCUUAAGGAUAUUUGGCAUAUCACCCAAAUAAUUUAACCUGCCUCUACAGAUGCACGGUUGAAAGUUUCCUAAAAUGUUGCAUCAUUGACCAUUAAGGGAAUUUCCAAUGCACAGAAUACAAGACUGUGGAGACUUGUGGACACAAACACGUGCCUCAUGGGCCCAUCCUUCCCCACCACCGACAGCAUCCACUGGAGGCUCUGCACCAAGAAGGCAUCAUCUAUUUAUGAGUGAUAUCAGGAGGUCAGGUGACAUCUAUGGAUAGGAACAAAAAGGCAAUGUUUUGGGCUGAGACCAUUCAUCAGGACUGGAAGGGAAGGGGAAAGAAGGUGUUAAUCCAAUAUUUAGUGUACGUUACUCUGGAUUUCUAAAAUCUCUUGUACCUAUCACGUAGGAUCCAUGCCAUCUAGGCCAUGCCUUCUUCUUGAUGCUGCUAUUGGG